UGCUAUACAUGCAAGUCGAGCGAAUCUGAUGGGAGCUUGCUCCCUGAUGAUUAGCGGCGGACGGGUGAGUAACACGUGGGUAACCUGCCUGUAAGAUUGGGAUAACUCCGGGAAACCGGAGCUAAUACCGGAUAAUAUUUUGAACCGCAUGGUUCAAAAUUGAAAGAUGGUUUCGGCUAUCACUUACAGAUGGACCCGCGGCGCAUUAGCUAGUUGGUGAGGUAACGGCUCACCAAGGCAACGAUGCGUAGCCGACCUGAGAGGGUGAUCGGCCACACUGGGACUGAGACACGGCCCAGACUCCUACGGGAGGCAGCAGUAGGGAAUCUUCCGCAAUGGACGAAAGUCUGACGGAGCAACGCCGCGUGAACGAUGAAGGCCUUCGGGUCGUAAAGUUCUGUUGUUAGGGAAGAACAAGUACCAGAGUAACUGCUGGUACCUUGACGGUACCUAACCAGAAAGCCACGGCUAACUACGUGCCAGCAGCCGCGGUAAUACGUAGGUGGCAAGCGUUGUCCGGAAUUAUUGGGCGUAAAGCGCGCGCAGGUGGUUUCUUAAGUCUGAUGUGAAAGCCCACGGCUCAACCGUGGAGGGUCAUUGGAAACUGGGGAACUUGAGUGCAGAAGAGGAAAGUGGAAUUCCAAGUGUAGCGGUGAAAUGCGUAGAGAUUUGGAGGAACACCAGUGGCGAAGGCGACUUUCUGGUCUGUAACUGACACUGAGGCGCGAAAGCGUGGGGAGCGAACAGGAUUAGAUACCCUGGUAGUCCACGCCGUAAACGAUGAGUGCUAAGUGUUAGAGGGUUUUCCGCCCUUUAGUGCUGCAGCUAACGCAUUAUGCACUCCGCCUGGGGGAGUACGGUCGCAAGACUGUAACUCAAAGGAAUUGACGGGGGGCGCGCACAAGCUGUGGAGCAUGUUGUUUUAAUUCGAAGCAACGCGCAGAACCUUACUUGUCGUGACAGACCACUGCCCGGCAUAGAGAUAUACCUUUCCCUUCCGCGACAGUGAUGACAGGUGCUGCAUGUUGUCGUCAGCUCGUGUCUGAGAUGUUGGGUGAAGUCGUCAUCCAGCGACA
rnacentral:rRNA from 1 species